rnacentral:rRNA from 1 species
UACGGAGGGUGCAAGCGUUAAUCGGACUUACUGGGCGUAAAGCGCACGCAGGCGGUUGCUUAAGUUAGAUGUGAAAUCCCCGGGCUUAACCUGGGAACUGCAUUUAAAACUGGUCAGCUAGAGUCUUGUAGAGGGGGGUAGAAUUCCACGUGUAGCGGUGAAAUGCGUAGAGAUGUGGAGGAAUACCGGUGGCGAAGGCGGCCCCCUGGACAAAGACUGACGCUCAGGUGCGAAAGCGUGGGGAGCAAACAGG